rnacentral:rRNA from 1 species
AACGAACGCUGGCGGCAGGCUUAACACAUGCAAGUCGAACGGGUGUAGCAAUACAUCAGUGGCAGACGGGUGAGUAACACGUGGGAACCUUCCUAGGGGUACGGAACAACUCAGGGGAACUUGAGCUAAUACCGUAUACGUCCGUGAGGAGAAAGAUUUAUCGCCCUUAGACGGGCCCGCGUCGGAUUAGCUAGUUGGUGGGGUAACGGCCUACCAAGGCGACGAUCCGUAGCUGAUCCUAGAGGAUGAUCAGCCACACUGGGACUGAGACACGGCCCAGACUCCUACGGGAGGCAGCAGUGGGGAAUCUUGGACAAUGGGCGCAAGCCUGAUCCAGCCAUGCCGCGUGAGUGAAGAAGGUCUUCGGAUUGUAAAGCUCUUUUGCCAGGGACGAUAAUGACGGUACCUGGAGAAUAAGCCCCGGCAAACUUCGUGCCAGCCGCCGCUGUAA